GUUGUGUUUCAGUCCGCGGUGGGACCUGGAGUAACCCGACCUGUGCCCCGGGACGUCACACCAUCACGCACCUGUUUGAGUGGAAAUGGAGCGACAUCGCCGCGGAGUGUGAGCGCUUCCUCGGUCCCAUGGGGUACUGCGGGGUCCAGAUUUCCCCUCCAAGUGAGAACAGAAUAGUGACUAAUCCUAACCGACCCUGGGAGGAAAGAUAUCAGCCCGUGUCCUACAACCUGGUCACCAGAAGCGGAAAUGAGGCUGAUCUCCGAGAUAUGAUACAGAGAUGUAAUAAGGUCAACGUGAGAAUCUAUGCUGACGUCGUGUUUAAUCACAUGACCGGAUCUGGAGCAUCCGGAACCGGAACUGGUGGUUCUCAUUGGGACAGCGGCACCCUAAGCUAUCCCGGCGUCCCUUUCUCUGCCUGGGAUUUUAAUGGUGGUACCGAAUGUAGCACAGGAGAUGGCGGCAUCCAUAAUUACAACGACCCUAACGAAGUGCGAAACUGUCGUCUGCUGGGUAUGGCCGAUCUGAAACUAUCCAAGGAUUACGUACGUGACACCGUCGCGGGAUAUUUGAAUCACCUGAUAAGUUUGGGAGUGGCUGGUUUCAGAGUGGACGCCGCUAAGCACAUGUGGCCCGGAGAUCUUCGCGCCGUUUUUGAUAGACUGCAUGAUUUGAAUACCGCCUAUUUUACUGCAGGAACCAAACCCUUUAUAUACUUGGAGGUGAUUGACUUAGGAAAUGAGCCAAUCAAAGCCGCGGAAUAUACCGGUAUUGCCCGCGUCACAGACUUCAUUUAUGGCAUAAAAAUAGCUGAAGUGUUUAGGUAAGAUUAAUUCUUGUCUGAAUUCUCUUUCUCUUUAACUUUCUGUCUCUCUGAGUAAGUAUGUGUGUUUGGGGAACGGGGGAGAGUCAUAUGUUUAUAAAACAGACACCACAAUCAAGCAAAAUGGCUGAGGACCUGGGGGGACCAUUGGGGGAUGCCUAACUCCAAUGACGCUGUUGUUUUCAUCGAUAACCAUGAUACACAAAGGGGACACAGCGGGGAAGGUGGCGUUCUGACAUUUUACGAACCACGGUCUUACAAAAUGGCGACAGAGUUCAUGUUGGCGCAUCCUUACGGCUUUACGCGUGUGAUGAGCAGCUACCGAUGGAACAGAGACUUCCAUGAUGGUAGAGAUCACAAUAGCUGGAUGGGACCCCCUCAUAAUGGCGACAUGAGCAUCAAAAGUCCCUCCAUACAACCAGACAUGUCUUGUGGAAAUGGAUGGAUAUGUGAGCACAGAUGGCGUCAAAUAUACAACAUGGUUGCCUUCCGUAACGUUGUCAUGGGAACGACAAUGACAAAUUGGUGGGACAACGGUGACUACGCCAUCGCUUUCUCUAGAGGAAACAGGGGUUUUAUCGUCAUCAACGCGGGAACUUCAGAUAUCAAUGUAAACCUACAAACUGGCUUGUCACAAGGAACGUAUUGUGACGUAAUUUCCGGUAAUUACGAAAAUGGCAGCUGUACCGGAAAUGAAGUUCACGUUGGUGGUGAUGGACACGCCCAUUUUCACAUCAGUUCCGGAAGUGAGGAUCCAGUGAUCGCGAUACAUAUAGGUGCAAAGAAAGGUUCGACAAAGAAGGUGACAACAUAGUGAAAUGAAGGAUCAUAUUAGGAGCCUCAUAUAAAAAGCAUAUUUUUAUAUUUACUUAUUAAAAAAUGACAAACCAUC
rnacentral:misc_RNA from 1 species